AGAAUGACACCCAUCAGAAAUUCUGCAAGGCAUUGAUCCGUGGUACAAAUGUUGAUAGUGCAAUUGUAGAAGCCUUGUGUCAGUCUAAACCAGCGUGCAUAAUAACUUGAGCAGCAAAAAUUGUUAAAUUGGAGAGUGUGAAAGUCUGCAAGCGGGGAUAUGGAUGUCCAUUACAGAAGAAAGACUACAGUGACUUCUUCAACUUCAGCUGGGACCACCUUCAUGAAUACUUAAGGCACCAUUGCCCUGAUCUCCUUUCAAUUAUUUCUGCAACAGUUUGUGAUUUAACACUUCAGGUUUCCGGUAAACCGUACCAACAUAUAAUUCUCACAGCCUGUAUUGGAUUGCAUGGUAGAAGCCAAGAAAUGUCCUUGGUACAAUUUGUUGUUGGCUUCAUGCUAAAACAUGGUGGAUGCACGGAACACUUUUUAUGAAUUAUUGUUUAAAGCAUGUUGAAUUUUUUAAAUGUAUAAUGAAUGUGACAUUUCAAUUAACUGAUAUAUGUUAUGUAAAAUUAACUCUUUCAAGUUAAACAGUAUAAAUGAAAAAAUCUUAUCCCAAAAUAUAUUAUUGUUAAGGGCCAGGUUAUUCCGAUAUUAAAAAUUAAAUAUGUAGGACUAUAAACUUUAUCUGAUAUGAAGUACAAAGCUUUUCGAUUAAUUUUGUUGUUGGGCAAUAGUAGAUAACAUAGAUUGGCAAAGUUAAAGUUUUGACCGUUAUAGUUUGAUGAAUUGAAGAUAAGUUUUGUUAUUAUUAUGCAACAGGAUAUUGAAAGGUUGUCCAAGAUCGGACUGAGUGUUCAUCCCACAACUCUCCAUCGGAAGCUGGUGAAUUGGCAGAAUAUUCUUGAUUCAGAUAUUCUAAGUGCAAGGGACACCUGGGCAAAUGGUGGACAUUCCACUUACCAAAUUAUCGGGGUAAUUGGGAUAAGGAUAUAUUGCCCUCCUACAGGACAUCUGACAGAAAGACACUAUCUCUGCAUUUAUUCAAUAUGUAUGCAAUUCUUGACAGGGUGAUUUUCCCCCCUGAAAACUAUGAAGGCCAGACUGAUAACAUUGAACCUGCAAAGUUUAUUCCAUGAGUGUCUGAGCAAGAGCAACUUAUGCAGGAGUUGUGCUUUGUUAUCUCAACAUCCAUAAUUGAAAAUCAUACCCAAAUGAAUAAGCUUCUGAAAAGAGUGUACCCAAAACACCUGGAGCAUACAUAUUCCAGAUACAUAUUCCAGAUAUGCUGGGGAGAAAACAACGCAGUAUCCAUUAGGACUAAGGGGCUGCAAUGAAAAUAGAACCCAAGAUGUGAUACAGCUUUUGAAGGAAUUGAGCAAGUUGUAUGUUCCAUGCAAAGAUGACACAAUUGUAGAACCAGUAUUCUUUGGAGGAGACCGUUUAACGGAUGAAAUAGUGCAGUCAGCACAGGAAGCAAUGAAAAAUGCUGAAACUCCAUUGGAUAGAAUAGAGGGUUUUUAUCCAAAAUCAAAGAUUUCCAUCGCAUGAUGAACUUUUUAGAGUGAACAUCAAGGACCAUUUUGAGGAAGUAACGGGAAUAAGGAAAAGAAAAGGAUUUCAUCACUUGCCAUCGUAUAAGACAGAUGUUCUAAAGGUUGUGAAUGAAUUAGCUGAUCAGAGUGUCUUGACAGUAAACAACCAGCGAAGACUUAAAUGCAGAACUUUAAAUCCAGACCGAGAUCUUUUUUCUCCUGCUUACAAGGGACUCUGUAACAUGAUUCAUCGCCAUAAACCAUUUGCUCCAUUCAGGCGCUUAAGAGACCCACACAUCUAAAAACUGGGACAAGAUAUUAAAAAAAUUUAGAGUACUUUAAGACUCUUAGUGCAUAAUAAUUCUGUAUUGCUUAUCAUUUUUUUAUUUCAUGAAGCCUUAUGUUGUACACCUCUUACAUGUCUGGAUAAGAUACGAAUGCUGUGUUUUGCCAUACUUCAUACAAUUUGAUAUUGAAAUAUCCUUUUACAACUUAUUUACAUAAUCUUUGUGCUCUUUAGAAAAAGGGUCAGGAUAUUGAUAAUAUCAAGACAUACUUGCAAUAAAUUUUAAAUUCUGUUAAUUGUUCUC